UACGUAGGGAGCAAGCGUUGUCCGGAAUCAUUGGGCGUAAAGCGCGCGUAGGUGGCUUCGUAAGUCCGUUGUGAAAGUCAAGGGCUCAACCUUUGAAAGCCGAUGGAUACUGCGGAGCUAGAGUACGGAAGAGGCGAGUGGAAUUCCUGGUGUAGCGGUGAAAUGCGCAGAUAUCAGGAGGAACACCGGUGGCGAAGGCGGUUCUCUGGGCCGAUACUGACGCUGAGGAGCGAAAGCGUGGGGAGCGAACAGG
rnacentral:rRNA from 1 species